GAUGAACGCUAGCGGCAGGCCUAAUACAUGCAAGUCGAACGGGAUUAAGAGGCUUGCUUCUUAUGAGAGUGGCGCACGGGUGCGUAACACGUAUGCAACCUACCUUCAACUGGGGGAUAGCCUUCCGAAAGGGAGAUUAAUACCGCAUAAUAUAAUUGAGUGGCAUCACUUGAUUAUCAAACGUCAGGGUUGAAGAUGGGCAUGCGUCCGAUUAGUUUGUUGGUGAGGUAACGGCUCACCAAGACUACGAUCGGUAAGGGAUCUGAGAGGAUGGCCCCCCACACUGGUACUGAGACACGGACCAGACUCCUACGGGAGGCAGCAGUAAGGAAUAUUGGUCAAUGGACGGAAGUUUGAACCAGCCAUGCCGCGUGCAGGAAGACGGUCCUCUGGAUUGUAAACUGCUUUUGUUAGGGAAGAAACUUCCGUACGUGUACGGGACUGACGGUACCUAAAGAAUAAGGAUCGGCUAACUCCGUGCCAGCCGCCGCCGUAAUAC
rnacentral:rRNA from 1 species